CGGCCUGAGGUCGGACGAGGCUACCCGCUGAAUGUAAGCAUAUUACUAAGCGGAGGAAAAGAAACUAACGAGGAUUCCCUCAGUA
rnacentral:ncRNA from 1 species